UGGGGAAUAUUGGACAAUGGGCGCAAGCCUGAUCCAGCCAUGCCGCGUGUGUGAAGAAGGCCUUUUGGUUGUAAAGCACUUUAAGCGAGGAGGAGGCUACUUGGAUUAAUACUCUAGGAUAGUGGACGUUACUUGCAGAAUAAGCACCGGCUAACUCUGUGCCAGCAGCCGCGGUAUUACAGAGGGUGCGAGCGUUAAUCGGAUUUACUGGGCGUAAAGCGUGCGUAGGCGGCUUCUUAAGUCGGAUGUGAAAUCCCUGAGCUUAACUUAGGAAUUGCAUUCGAUACUGGGAAGCUAGAGUAUGGGAGAGGAUGGUAGAAUUCCAGGUGUAGCGGUGAAAUGCGUAGAGAUCUGGAGGAAUACCGAUGGCGAAGGCAGCCAUCUGGCCUAAUACUGACGCUGAGGUACGAAAGCAUGGGGAGCAAACAGG
rnacentral:rRNA from 1 species